rnacentral:rRNA from 1 species
AAAAAAAAGAGUUUGAUCAUGGCUCAGAAUCAACGCUGGCGGCGUGCCUAACACAUGCAAGUCGAACGCGGUUACCUCGCAAGGGGUAACUGAGUGGCGAACGGGUGAGUAACGCGUGGGUGACCUACCUUCGAGCGGGGGAUAACGUCCCGAAAGGGACGCUAAUACCGCAUAACAUCCUGCCUUUGAACAGGUGGACAUCAAAGCCGGGGAUCGCAAGACCUGGCGCUUGGAGAGGGGCCUGCGGCCGAUUAGCUAGUUGGUAGGGUAAUGGCCUACCAAGGCAACGAUCGGUAUCCGGCCUGAGAGGGCGGACGGACACACUGGGACUGAGACACGGCCCAGACUCCUACGGGAGGCAGCAGUGGGGAAUUGUUCGCAAUGGGCGCAAGCCUGACGACGCAACGCCGCGUGGAGGAUGAAGAUCUUCGGGUCGUAAACUCCUUUCGAUCGGGAAGAACGUUUUCGGGGUGAAUAAUCCCGAGAAGUGACGGUACCGAGAGAAGAAGCCCCGGCUAACUCUGUGCCAGCAGCCGCCGUAAU